rnacentral:rRNA from 1 species
GACGAACGCUGGCGGCGUGCCUAACACAUGCAAGUCGAGCGGGGUUGAAGCGAGGGGUAACUCGAGUUUCUACCUAGCGGCGGACGGGUGAGUAACGCGUGGGCAACCUGCCUCAAGGACUGGGAUAACAGCUCGAAAGGGCUGCUAAUACCGGAUAUGCCUGUGGCCUCGCAUGGGGCUAUGAGCAAAGGGGAAACCCGCCUUGAGAUGGGCCCGCGUCCCAUCAGCUAGUUGGUGAGGUGAAGGCUCACCAAGGCGACGACGGGUAGCCGGCCUGAGAGGGUGACCGGGCCACACUGGGACUGAGACACGGCCCAGACUCCUACGGGGGGCAGCAGUGGGGAAUCUUGCACAAUGGGCGAAAGCCUGAUGCAGCGACGCCGCGUGAGCGAAGAAGGCCUCGGUGUAAGUCUGUCUGGAGGGACGAAGGAAGUGACGGUACCUCCGGAGGAAGCCACGGCUAACUACGUGCCAGCAGCCGCGGUAAGUCUGUAGUCGU